rnacentral:rRNA from 1 species
GGGAGAUGGCUGUCCAAAGCCACGCGAGUGAUUUUGAUGAACUCCUCCCUUAUUAGCCUACUGAUGUACGUCAUGGGAUUCUAUAGUCUACAUGAAUCCCUACAUCACGAGGUCACCAAACUCCUCUCCAGAUUCUUCUGGGCUGGAGAGAACAAUAAACAAAAGUACCACAUGGUGAAGUGGUCUGAGAUCUGUAAGCCUAAAGACCAACGAGGCAUUGGGGUCAUUUCGUCCAAGCGGAUGAAUAUUGCCCUCCUCUCUAAAUGGCUUUGGCGGAUUCAGACCGAUGAGGGCGGCCUCUAG